ensembl:snoRNA F58D5.12 ncRNA
ACGUGGGAAAAUCUGCAAAAAUGCAGAAAACAGGAAAAAAUUGAUUUUCUGCCACUAUUUUGCAAUUUUCGGUCGAUUUUAGUGCAUUUU